rnacentral:ribozyme from 15 species
UAGAGUGAGAGAGAGGGAGACAAGGGGAGUAGAGGGAGAGAAAGAGGGGGGAUAUCUCACUUCAUUUGUUCUCUUUUUAACGGUAUUUUCAAUCUCUCUUUUUCUCUCUCUUUCUCUCUC